rnacentral:rRNA from 1 species
CACGUAGGGCGCAAGCGUUGUCCGGAAUUAUUGGGCGUAAAGAGCUCGUAGGCGGUCUGUUGCGUCUGCUGUGAAAACUCGGGGCUUAACCCCGAGCCUGCAGUGGAUACGGGCAGACUAGAGGUAGGUAGGGGAGAAUGGAAUUCCCGGUGUAGCGGUGAAAUGCGCAGAUAUCGGGAAGAACACCUAUGGCGAAGGCAGCUCUCUGGGACGGUACUGACGCUGAGACGCGAAAGCGUGGGGAGCGAACAGG